UAUCCUUAUUUGCCAGCGCGUUAUGGCGGGAACUCUAAGGAGACUGCCGGUGAUAAACCGGAGGAAGGUGGGGACGACGUCAAGCCAUCAUGGCCCUUACGGGAUGGGCUACACACGUGCUACAAUGGCAGGUACAGAGGGCAGCAAUACCGCGAGGUGGAGCGAAUCCCACAAAGCUUGUCGUAGUCCGGAUUGGAGUCUGCAACUCGACUCCAUGAAGUCGGAAUCGCUAGUAAUCGUAGAUCAGAAUGCUACGGUGAAUACGUUC
rnacentral:rRNA from 1 species